UACGUAGGGACCGAGCGUUUGUCCGGAUUCAUUGGGCGUAAAGAGCUCGUAGGCGGCUGUUCAAGUCGAACGUGAAAACUCGGAGCUCAACUCCGAGCCUGCGUUCGAUACUGGACGGCUAGAGUCUGGUAGGGGGAUCUGGAAUUCCUGGUGUAGCGGUGGAAUGCGCAGAUAUCAGGAGGAACACCGGUGGCGAAGGCGGGAUCCUGGGCCAGUACUGACGCUGAGGUGCGAAAGCGUGGGGAGCAAACAGG
rnacentral:rRNA from 1 species